rnacentral:misc_RNA from 1 species
UACGGGAGCGAGCGAGACCAAAGUGUCACCCACCCCGAAUCGAGUUUGUGUUAGUGUCCGUGAGCGUGUGAGUGCGAGUGUUUGCCUGUGCGUCGCAUUUGUCGUCGCUGUUACAUUUUUCUGCCCGCUGACUGCGACGGAGCAGCAGUCGCUGCCGCUGCUGCCUCGUAACCUCGCCGCCGACACAGCGACAAUCAUUGUCACCCACGUCUUCCGAAGAAGUGGUUCUCUCGUGUCUCUGCUUAGUUGCCGCACACCACACUCCUCAUUCCGUACACCGUACACCGGGUACCGUACACAUACCGCACUCGUGUCCGCAUCCUAAUCCGAAUCACGGUCCCGUCGCUUCUUGUGUUGUAUGAGCGUGUGAGUGGUCAUCUCUUAAAGCGAACGACGGCAAACUUUUGUUUUAUCGCCAACGAUGCUCUAGAAUAGAGCCCAGCUUUAAACAAACCUAAUAAAAAAAUAGCAUCGGGCUCAUGGAAGUGAACUGCUGCGACUGUAAUUCGAUAAACUAAUUUUUUUUUUAUAUGGGAAGCGCUGUGACAUUUCGAUUGUAUCCAUUCGAAGUUCUAUUAAAGUGAAGUUUAUACAAGCCAUUGGAGUUACGCUAAAUAAAAAGUGUCUAGUCUUUAAUUUUCAUUAAAGCACAAAGCCAGGCCGGUUAGAAUGGAGCAUAUGGUGAAUCCGUUCAUGUCGCCCGCUUAUCUGCUCGCCCAUGGUCCUCAUCCGCACGCACAUCCCCAUGUCCAGCAUACCAAUACAAAGGGCAGCGCCUCCUCGCCGGCCAGCUCGCCAGGAGGGUCGACUGGAUCCGGUUCUGGCUCGGGUGGAGUCUCAUCUGGUGGAAUAUCGAAGCUGAAGCGCUGGGGCUCGCCGCCUAUCAACCUGGCCGGCCAGUUCAUCAAUCCGUCGACGGGAAAGAAGCGCGUCCAGUGCUCAAUCUGCUUCAAAACUUUUUGCGACAAAGGCGCCCUAAAAAUCCACUUUUCGGCGGUGCACCUGCGGGAAAUGCACAAGUGCACGGUCGAGGGCUGCAACAUGGUUUUUAGCUCGCGUCGCUCCAGGAACCGCCACAGUGCCAAUCCGAACCCCAAGCUGCACUCGCCGCACAUCCGGCGCAAGAUCUCACCGCAUGACGGCCGCACGGCCCAGCAGUUUCCUGUGUUUGGUACAGGAGCCGCCGCAGCUGCUGGCCACCUUCCUGUAGCUUUCCCUGGCUUGCUGCCACCGCAUCACCCUCAUCACACCCAGUCCUCGUUCGUCAUGUUCGGGGGCCAGGGCCGACUGCCCGGCCUGAAUAUUCUUUCCGGCUGUCUGGAUCUGCCUGAUGCAGAGUCAGAGGCACCUAUCGACGCGGAGGCAGAUGGAGGCGACGGGGCUGACUUCGAAUACGUAGAGAUACAGGCAAACAGUUCGAGCUCGACUGCAUCUUGCGAAGAGGAUAACGACCAGGACCAUGAUCAAGAUGAAGAGAUGCAUUGCAGUCUGAGCCUGGCAAGCAUCAGCAGCAGUAAUGGCGAUGAGGACAGGCCCGACCAGCCGCUGGACUUCAGCUUGCACAAGCGCCGGGACCGAGAGUGGGAGCAGGACCCAGACCAGGAGCUAGAUUCGGAAAAGGAGCACAGUCGCGAGAAGCUACUACAUAAUAAGGAAUUUGAGCUGGAGAAGCGAUCGGGUAGCCCCAGUGGAGGCUCUUUCUCCAUGGAUAGGCUGCUGGGAAAACGCAAGCGACACGACAGCAACGCGUCUAAUUCGGCAAGUUCCACAUCUAUCAACGCCACUGACACUGCUGCCGUUACCUCUAUUCCUGGUCUCGGCGCGGAGAGCAGCAUGGAGCUGGAAGUUGACAGCAUAGACCUGUCUGGCCGACGGCUCCUACCGCCCCCACUGCCGUUGCUGGAAAUUGACGAGCAACACCAUAUCCGACUGCUGCAGACACAGAUGUUUGCCGCCGCAGCGGCAGCAGCCGCCGCUCAGCCACCCACCACGUUCGCAUUGCCGUCGGGUGGAUCACCCGUGGAGCCACUGGGCGGGUCGCCGCCAAUGUGGAGCCUGCUCUCCGAAAUGUACCGCUCGAUUUUGCUCAAGACGCAACAGCAGCAAAAGUACCAGCACUCCCACCAGCCCCAGCAACCGGAACAUCACUUGCACCUGAGUCACCUAACACUCGACCGACACCAUCAACAGCCGCCGCCAAAGACGUCACCGGCGUCAACCAACGCAGCUAUAUCGGUAUAAAUUGUGGCGGAGCUUCUUAGUCAAAUGUUUUUUUUUUUUUUGUUUUAUUUUUGUUCUUAGUUCUUAUUUUUUAAGGACGUCUUAAGAGGGGCGGCCAUCGGAAGUGGAAAUAGAAGACUUAGCCGAAUAUAGGUCAUUAAAUGGCUGGCAGCUCUCAAACACCGCCGCCGCUGCCCUAUACCCCAGUAAUGCAGCAUCUAUGUGUAUAGUGUUUAAUCUGUUCCUCAGUGCAGCAGCACCGUGCAAAGAGUGUGAGAGUGUAUGUGCGUAGGAUCUCAGUUAUUUUUGCUGGCGAUCUGUGCAGAUUGGUCAACGAGAAGCAGGCAAUAGGUUCGGGUUCCUGCUUUUUGGUGGGUGCACAACGAAGUAUUGAUAUUUAUAACAAAUAGAUUAUACAAGCAUAUAUUAAAUAGUUUUAAGUAAUUUUUUUUGUAACCUCUAAAUAAACUGCGACGCUGGAAGUACUAACCGCAUGCAAGCUUUACUGAAACAUAUCCGAAGUGUACGAAAAGCUCCACAACCGUUAGCAGCUAUAUGUAGAUCGUAAGUUAAAAAAAUGUUAAUGCUCCCGAGAAAUAGUAUUGCUCCAUACGAAACGAUUGUGUACUGUAUAACAUGAUUUAAGUUUUCAUUAACA